rnacentral:rRNA from 1 species
CACGCAUGACACACUGCAUAUCAAUAAGCGGAGGAAAAGAAACUAACAAGGAUUCCCCUAGUAACGGCGAGUGAAGCGGGAAGAGCUCAAAUUUGAAAUCUUAAAGGGUUUCCCUUUACGAAUUGUAGUUUAAAGAAGUGUUUUCUGUUGGAGUUUCGGUAAAAGUUCUUUGGAAUAGGACAUCAUAGAGGGUGAGAAUCCCGUAUUUGACCGUUACUUUCCAGCUGUGUGAUACACUUUCAAAGAGUCGGAUUGUUUGGGAAUGCAGUCCAAGAUGGGUGGUAAAUUUCAUCUAAAGCUAAAUAUUGGCGAGAGACCGAUAGCGAACAAGUACCGUGAGGGAAAGAUGAAAAGAACUUUGAAAAGAGAGUUAGACAGUACGUGAAAUUGUCAAAAGGGAAGCGUUUGACACCAGUGUUGUUUUCUCGAAAAUCAAUUAAAAAAGGCCGGAUUUUGUGUUGUAUUGACCUUAAAAGCUUUCUUCACUCUUUUCUUGUCUUUUUAAUGCACUUUUCGUUUAACAAGUCAACAUCAGUUUCUCUUGUUGUAAAAGGGUAUGAGGAAGGUGGCUUUCUUUUCGGAGAAAGUGUUUAUAGCCUUGUGCCUCUACAAUCGGAGAGAUUGAGGUCUGCAGCGUAGAUCCUUCGGGGUUAGAUACGUUUGUGCUAAGUUAUAGCUUUUCAUAGACAACUUGUUGACUAUGUUUAGUCUUGUAGCUUACUCGCUGACGCUAUUUUACCUACGCUUAGGAUGUUGAGCGCAUGUCUCUCUCU